rnacentral:rRNA from 1 species
ACGCUGGCGGCAGGCCUAACACAUGCAAGUCGAACGGUAGCACAGAGAGCUUGCUCUCGGGUGACGAGUGGCGGACGGGUGAGUAAUGUCUGGGAAACUGCCUGAUGGAGGGGGAUAACUACUGGAAACGGUAGCUAAUACCGCAUAACGUCGCAAGACCAAAGAGGGGGACCUUCGGGCCUCUUGCCAUCAGAUGUGCCCAGAUGGGAUUAGCUAGUAGGUGGGGUAACGGCUCACCUAGGCGACGAUCCCUAGCUGGUCUGAGAGGAUGACCAGCCACACUGGAACUGAGACACGGUCCAGACUCCUACGGGAGGCAGCAGUGGGGAAUAUUGCACAAUGGGCGCAAGCCUGAUGCAGCCAUGCCGCGUGUAUGAAGAAGGCCUUCGGGUUGUAAAGUACUUUCAGCGGGGAGGAAGGUGUUGUGGUUAAUAACCGCAGCAAUUGACGUACCCGCAG